UCCGGAGGGGGCGAGCGUUAUUCGGAAUUAUUGGGCGUAAAGGGCGCGUAGGCGGCUUGGCAAGUCAAAGGUGAAAUCCCUCGGCUCAACUGAGGAACUGCCUUUGAAACUGCCUGGCUUGAGGCCGGGAGGGGGUAGCGGAAUUCCCAGUGUAGCGGUGAAAUGCGUAGAUAUUGGGAGGAACACCAGUGGCGAAGGCGGCUACCUGGACCGGUUCUGACGCUGAUGCGCGAAAGCGUGGGUAGCAAACAGG
rnacentral:rRNA from 1 species